AUGCAAGUCGAGCGGUAACAUUUCUAGCUUGCUAGAAGAUGACGAGCGGCGGACGGGUGAGUAAUACUUAGGAAUCUACCUAGUAGUGGGGGAUAGCUCGGGGAAACUCGAAUUAAUACCGCAUACGACCUACGGGAGAAAGGGGGCAACUUGUUGCUCUCGCUAUUAGAUGAGCCUAAGUCGGAUUAGCUAGAUGGUGGGGUAAAGGCCUACCAUGGCGACGAUCUGUAGCUGGUCUGAGAGGAUGAUCAGCCACACCGGGACUGAGACACGGCCCGGACUCCUACGGGAGGCAGCAGUGGGGAAUAUUGGACAAUGGGGGAAACCCUGAUCCAGCCAUGCCGCGUGUGUGAAGAAGGCCUUUUGGUUGUAAAGCACUUUAAGCAGUGAAGAAGACUCUUCGGUUAAUACCCGGAGACGAUGACAUUAGCUGCAGAAUAAGCACCGGCUAACUCUGUGCCAGCAGCCGCGGUAAUACAGAGGGUGCAAGCGUUAAUCGGAAUUACUGGGCGUAAAGCGAGCGUAGGUGGCUUGAUAAGUCAGAUGUGAAAUCCCCGGGCUUAACCUGGGAACUGCAUCUGAUACUGUCAGGCUAGAGUAGGUGAGAGGAAGGUAGAAUUCCAGGUGUAGCGGUGAAAUGCGUAGAGAUCUGGAGGAAUACCGAUGGCGAAGGCAGCCUUCUGGCAUCAUACUGACACUGAGGCUCGAAAGCG
rnacentral:rRNA from 1 species